rnacentral:rRNA from 1 species
UACGGGGGGGGCAAGCGUUGUUCGGAAUUACUGGGCGUAAAGGGCUCGUAGGCGGCCAACUAAGUCGGACGUGAAAUCCCUCGGCUUAACCGGGGAACUGCGUCCGAUACUGGAUGGCUUGAGUUUGGGAGAGGGAUGCGGAAUUCCAGGUGUAGCGGUGAAAUGCGUAGAGAUGUGGAGGAAUACCGAUGGCGAAGGCAGCCCCCUGGGAUAACACUGACGCUCAUGCACGAAAGCGUGGGGAGCAAACAGG